GAACUUAAGCAUAUCAAUAAGCGGAGGAAAAGAAACUAACAAGGAUUCCCUCAGUAACUGCGAGUGAAGUGGGAAAAGCUCAAAUUUGAAAUCUGGCAGCUCUUUCAGGUUGUCCGAGUUGUAAUCUAGAGAAGCGUUACCUGUGUUGGACCGUGUAAAAGUCUUCUGGAAUGGAGCAUCAUAGAGGGUGAGAAUCCCGUCUUUGACAUGGACUACCAGCAUGCCAAGGUGCACUCUCAAAGAGUCGAGUUGUUUGGGAAUGCAGCUCAAAAUGGGUGGUAAAUGCCAUCUAAAGCUAAAUAUUGGCGAGAGACCGAUAGCGAACAAGUACCGUGAGGGAAAGAUGAAAAGAACUUUGGAAAGAGAAUUAAACAGUACGUGAAAUUGCUGAAAGGGAAACGCUUAAAGUCAGUCGCAUUAGCUGGAAAUCAGGCUUGCUUUUGCAAGGUGCACUUUCUAGUUGAUGGGUCAGCAUCAAUUUUAAUCGUUGGAUAAAGUCAUUGGGAAUGUGGCAUCUUUGGAUGUGUUAUAGCCCAGUGUUGAAUACAGCGGUCAGGAUUGAGGAAUUCAGCAUGCCUCUAGGGGCCAGGUUUCGACCAUGUUCAUGCUUAGGAUGCUGGCAUAAUGGCUUUAAUCGACCCGUCUUGAAACACGGACCAAGGAGUCUAACAUGCCUGCGAGUGUUUGGGUGAAAAACCCAUACGCACAAUGAAAGUGAAAGUUGAGAUCCUUAGGGAGCAUUGACGCCCGGACCAGACCUUCUGUGACGGAUCCGCGGUAGAGCAUGUAUGUUGGGACCCGAAA
rnacentral:rRNA from 1 species